ensembl:lincRNA
GACUGUGCAAAACGACACUGUAUUAUUUUAUUAUUAAAAACGCGUGCAAAAAGCUGAGGAGGUAGUGGAAGGGGAUACUGAUGAGGUGGGAAGGUUGAUCCCAUGGGAAGUCUAGCCUAAGGGUGGAAGAGCUGAAGGCUUGAAAUUCAUCUGCUUCCAGACCAAUCCUUGUCGGCUUUGGAAAGGAGAUGAAUUUUAAUUUGGGCUCCAAAAGAGUAAAGAAGACUUGAAAUGGGCUAAGAGGAGAGAGAAACUGCUUCCUGAUACUGGGGUUGGAAUUGGAGAAGGAUAGAAGAGGUAGAUAUAACAGGUGCUGCUGCUGAGUCGCUUCAGUCGUGUCCGACUCUGCGACCCCAGAGACGCGGCCCACCAGGCUCCCCUGUCCCUGGGAUUCUCCAGGCAGGAACACUGGAGUGGGUUGCCAUUGCCUUCUCCAAUGCACGAAAGUGAAAAGUCAAAGUGAAGUCGCUCAGUCGUGUCCGACUCAUAGCGACCCCAUGGACUGCAGCCUACCAGGCUCCUCCAUCCUUGGGAUUUGCCAGGCAAGAGUACUGGAGUGGGGUGCCAUCGCCUUCUCCAGAUAUAACAGGGGAACCUGAUUUGAGAUCAAUUCUUGGAGAACACAAAGAAGUGUGGUGGUAUGUUCCAGGGUUGAACCAGCUGCCCUUUGACCCUGCCAACAACAACGAGCCCCUGCAGUUUGGUAGUGCCAGUGGCCCUCUGGUCACAGAAGGCCUCAUUGAGAAUGGAGGGGAGUCAAGCAAGAAAAGAAAGAGAACAAAUGCUCCUUCAGAUGAGGUGCUAAUAACCAGAGAGGAGACAUGACUUUGACUGAGAUGGAGCGGUAUCACCAGGAAUGUUAGGAUAUUCUAAGGACCUCCAGACAGUUUCUAAACUUGAUCUUAGACUCCUAACUCAGUUCUCACGGUUUCCUUUAGAAUUCCUAGAAGUUGGAAUGAGACUUGACAAUAUAAAAGACAGUGAACAGUUCCAGCACUGCCAAGACUAAAUUAACAAGGAGAGGUUCAGUCAGACAUAAAGAAGAACUAUGUUGGAAUGAGUUAUCAGAGGAAGUUGUUUAAGCCUGCUUGGAAAAGAAAUAUAAAAAUGGGAUCAACACUCAUCUGCCUGAGAGUACUUUUGUUCCUUUCUUACCUAGAAGAGGGGCAAUGAACCAGGAAACUUUUUAAUGACACUUUCAGCCCUUUGAUUUACCUCAGCCUCACAAGGCUAAGACUUUUAUUUCAUAUGUACUUUGAAGUCCACAAAUGAAAGCAUUGAUUGUUUUUAAAGAGAGAAAAUGCCACCAUUUUAUAUCUUGGUGUGUGGUAUUUCUAGCAUGUCAGCUGAAUUAUUAUAUUGCCAAAGGCAAGAAGAGCCUAUUGUUCCUUGAGAUGGAAUUAAAAUAAGAAAAAGAGUAGACUAAUAGCCCUACUCAAUUUCUUUAGUCCUUUGGAUGUUUUUAUCUGGUUAUAGUUUCAAAAAAUAAAGCCGCAUCUUGAUAACUAGGGAUCAAAAAGUAAGCUGUCUUCUUCCUCAGUUCUGAUAGAAACUCAGUGUGAAAUUUUUCAUCUUCAAGGACUGUCCGGAGGAGGGGAGAUUGAGCGUGGCACAGAAGAUGCAAGAUAGAAAAAUGCAAACACACCUCUCUUAACUUGCUCCAACCAUCUGAAUAGCUUUGGAAUGAUUUUGUGACUUCUUUGUACCUCCUAAGUUCUCUCACAGACCUGAAGUAUGAGUCAGCCUCAUGUGUUGGUAAUAUAGACGCUAAUGAUAUAGGUGUUGAGUCAUAGUAUUUCAGAGUUGAAGGCAAUCUUGUCUAACUCCAUCAUUUUCACAAAGAAACUGAAAGCCAGAGAAGGGACUUUUCUAAAGUCAUGUGAUUAAUUAUGAAUAGUAGCAGAACCAGAACUGCUUAUUACCAGACCUUUAUAAUCAUUUCAAGUUGGCUAGGACUAUGGCAUGUGAUUGAUUCAUUUGUAUUGAAGCAAGUUUAUCUGUGAACUAGAGGAGCUGCCUUCCUCCAUGCUAGUAGUAUCAAUAUUACAUGAUUUGUAGCAAGCUAACGCAGUGGUAUAUAGGUCCCAUAUCUGUUCUGUCUGCCACACAGGGAAGGGCCCUUUGAUCUCAAACUAGAAAAGUAGUUUGAAUCUGGGAAACACCUAUGAGGAAAUUGCUUUUGUAGAGCUACAAGUCCAGCAGCUCAGCAAACCACAGAAGCAGCUCUUUGUGACACCUGCUUACUUGGCAGGGAACAGUUUGUUUCCCCCAUCCCAGCCUACCCUACGGCCACUACAUCCAAAUAGGAAAAAAAUUCAUAAUCGUGUUUUAUCUGUUAUUUAAGCUUUGUCGCAUAAUUUUGUCUAGAGGAUCUCUUUCAAUUUCUCAAUUUUGAGGGUAAAGACUUGUCUGAUAAAAAUCAGUUUUAGGUCAGUAAAAUCCAAUUUCAUAGUAAAAGGAUUCUUGGAUUUGGAAAGGUUGUUUCUCUCCUGUUAGCUUAGUAAAGUCAUCAAAGCAAGUGUUGUUCUUGACUUUGAGGUUUAUAUGGGCUUCCGUGGCCUCACUGGCCUCAGAGAGAAAUAAGCAUACUUAGACAUGUUAUAUGAAGAACACUGAAGACUGUGAGUUUAGUACUCAAUUUGCCACUUGCAAGUCUUUAGACCUAGGGAAAAUCACAGAAGCCUUUUCCAGUUGCUACUUCUGUUAAAUGGGAAAAGUGUUUUGAAAACUAUCAGAUACUACUUGUAUAGUUGCUACUACUGCUGCUUGUCGAGUUUGCGAGUGUGAGUGCUCUGCUCCUUUCAAUUCUGAGUCAAACUGAGAGCAAACACGAAAAGCCACUUGAGGAACAAAAUAUAGUAUCAACUUUAUUAUAAGUAAAACUAUAAGAACAUGACUUGGCCUAAGGCCUAAUGAAGCUUCCUAUUGUCUCCUGCUCCAAAUCUCUACAUUGAUACUCACCAAUAGGGAAGAUCUGGAGAAGGCAGUGGCACCCCACUCCAGUACUCUUGCCUGGAAAAUCCCAAGGACAGAGGAGCCUGGUAGGCGGCAGUCUAUGGGGUUGCGAAGAGUCAGACACGACUGAGCGACUUCACUUUGACUUUUCACUUUCAUGAAUUGGAGAAGGAAAUGGCAACCCACUCCAGUAUUCUUGCCUGGAGAAUCCCAGGGAUGGGGGAGCCUGGUGGGCUGCCGUCUAUGGGGUCGCACAGAGUUGGACACGACUGAAGCGACUUAGCAGCAGCAGCAGCAGAUAGGGAAGAAUGAGUCAGCAGAACAGACCAUUUACCUUAUCAUUGUCAUUGAGAGUGAUACCCUAGGUCACAAUUCAGUGGAAGCUAGAAAUUAAGAGCAAGAUGGGCCUCUGGGCCUGCCAACUAGAAAACAGUACCUGUGCCCUAAGUGCUGCUCACUUUAGGAGAGAGAAAGGGUCAUGUUCAACUUGAGGACAUUUUGACCCAAGAGCCAGAAUGAAGAGGUUAAGCCAGAGAUGAGCACUUAUUUUUAUUCUAAUCUUACUAAUCAGAUAAGUGGAUGUUCCUCCUGUGCCAAAGAGCAAGCAAGGGUGGAGAGAAAGCCCAGAGAAGUUUCUAUAGUACUGUCCGUCCUCUCUCACAAGUAGAAAGGAUGUUCUCUCCUCCCUGUGGAAUGAUGCCAAGUGUGAUGAGAACCUCCACAAUUUGCAGAUAAAUAUGACUUUGGAUUUUUCUAUUUUCAGAAUUUUUUUAACCAGGGGAAACUAGCAAUGACAAACCUUUGCAAGGUACAAAAAAACAGGGUUGUUCUAGCACCAUGUGUUAUGUUUAGAUUUUUACUUCUCUGUAUAUAAAGUCAAGAAAAAUUCAACUUUCUAUCAUCUGAUUUUGCCUCAGAGUAGUACCUUACAGGGAGGAGAUUCCAUUUUCAUGAUUUUCAAACACAGACACCUUUGCUGCCAUUUUAGUGUUGUCAUUUCACAUGUGAUUGCAGAUUCUACAUGCCUUCCUUUCUCUUCCAUGACACCAGAGUGUAAUACUUAAAAUACUUUAUUACUACUACUACCAGUGUGCCAGACGCUGUUCUAAGUAUCUCAAAUGUGUUAAAUUAUUUUACUUUCAUGGGAACUCUGUGAUUAUCCCCAUUUUACUGAUAAAGAAACAAAUGCAGAGAAGUUAAGUAAUUUGUGCAAAUGGUAAAGAAGUAGAGGAGAUAUGGCCCAAACCCAGACAGGAUAGCUCUAAAGUUAUUGUCAAAAAUCAAUUGAGUCAGAAUGGAAAUUAAGGAAGAGCCAGGCAUCAAUGUUUUUUUAAAGGCAUGGCAAAUUAUUUCAUUAUGCAGCCAGGCUUAAGGACCAAUUCAGCUACCCAUAUUGCAUCUGAGCAACUAGGUGUACUUAGGCCACUAUGGUUCAGAAUGGUGGCCAUUUGUAUUGCAGUAGUCCUCACUUUUCCAUGGAGAUAUGUUCCAAGAUCCCCCAGUGGAUGACUGAAACUGGGGAUAGUAGCGAUCCCUACAUAUACUGUAUUUUUUUCCUUAUACAUGCAUAUACCUAUGAUAAAGUUUAAUUUAUAAAUUAGGCACAGUAGGAGAAUAUCCAAAUUGCCAGGAUAACUACUCUUGUACUUUGCAGCCACUAUUAAGUAAAGUAAGGGUUACUUGAACACAAAUACUACUGAUACCACAACAAUUGACUCGAUAACCUAGGCGGCUACUAAGUGACUUACAAGAGGGAUACACUGGACAAAAGGAUGGUUCGUGUGGCAGGACAGUGGGGGAUUUCAUCAUGCUACUCAGAACAGUAUGCCACUUAAAACUUAUGGAUUGUUUAUUUCUGGAAUGUUCCAUUGAAUAUUUUUCAAUCAAAGUUGACUCCGGGUAACUGAAACCACAGAAAGCAAAACCAUGGAUACUGUAUUCUAUGAUAAAGUAUGUCUAACAUCUUAUGUCAAGAACUGAAGUAACAGUGAAGCAGUAUACCAGAAGGUGACAAAGCAGUUGUGUAUAUGUUGACCACUCUAGGUAUUUCAACACAGAAAGAAGUGACCACCUAAUUUGUAGUUUUCUUUUUCUCUGCUCCAUUUCCUAAUAUCCAUUUUACUACCUAUUGAAAUAAAAGUCCAUGAUGAUGAAAUUUCCUCAAAAGGAUUGAGAGACAGUCUUGAUUUUGUUUUCCUAUCUUAAUUUCCUUGAUAAUAGGAGCUAUUUAGCUUAAACCAUGCCGGCUGUGGUAUUUCCAUUGAGCAAUUGCUUGUGUAAUAGAAUUAACUUCAAAAUAUUUUGCUUCUCCUACAUUUGAAUUUUAAGCAAAAGCAGCUUUCAUGUGCAAGCUGUUUUAUGGGAUGUGG